UGAUGAACCGGUCCGCGAGUCAUGAAUCAUCGCUAAGCCACCAGUCUGAGGCGGUAAAUGCGGCGGCGGUGGAUGGAGAGAGUAAAGAGAGUGAUGAAAGUAUGGCUUCGGUUGAAACGGCUGAGACUUCGAUGAACUUAUUUAGAGAUGAACCGGAGUCAACCAGAGAUUUGAAACGGGUGGACCGAACCGGUGAAAGUGGAGAGGAAAAUGUUGGUUUAGAAUUGACUCUUGGGUUUGAACCGGUUUCACGUGUUCAUCACGUGGUUCCUGUGAAGAAAAGAAGAGUUGAAUUGAAAGAUUGUGGUGGCGGCUCAUGGAAGAUUGAGCUGGGGCUUCCAUAAACGGCUUAAGGGGCUUUGUGUUCCGGUUCAGUUUUGACUUAAUCGGCUUUCUAUCAUUUGUACAAGUGAAGAGAUCAUCAGAACCGUUUCUUGUUUAGUUUUUUUUUUUUUUUUUUUAUUUACUUUUUUUAAUUACCUUUUAACUUUUUUGGGGGGCAUUUUGGGUUAAUUAACUCUUUUUUUUCUCUUUCUAUUUUAAGAAAAUGUGAAUGUGGUGAUGUCUAAACUACAAACAUGGGAACUAUGCGUCUCUAUACUAAAUUAAACACAAAUUUUAAAAAUACAGAUUUAAUUUAUUUUUAAUAGUAAAUUACUUAGCCGAAACUUCGUAGACAAAUUAAAUGAAAAUAAAGUUAUUGAUUUUUAUUUUUCAUUUUUUUAAUUGCAGCGAUUUUUCGUUCAUUGUUGUACGAAGCAUGUGGUCGAAUAGUGAACCCGAUUUACGGUUCAGUUGGUUUAUUAUGGUCUGGGAGCUGGCAACUUUGUCAAGCCGCUGUGGAAGCCGUUUUGAAAGGCGCGCCGAUUACGCCAAUAACUUCGGAAGCAGCUGCUAAUGGGCGGGGUCCACCUCUCAAGGCGUAUGACAUACGCCACGUGUCGAAAGAAGAGAACUCCGCCGUUUCGAACGAAACUCAGCAGCGAGUCAAGACUCGGUCUCGUGUGAAGCGAUCGAACUUAGCCAAGCCGAAGUUAACAACUGAUAAUGAGGAAAAAAGUAGCAAUAACAAAGGAAUUGAAUCCGGUUCUGUUGAACCGGUUGAAGAAGUGAUGAACCGGUCCGCGAGUCAUGAAUCAUCGCUAAGCCACCAGUCUGAGGCGGUAAAUGCGGCGGCGGUGGAUGGAGAGAGUAAAGAGAGUGAUGAAAGUAUGGCUUCGGUUGAAACGGCUGAGACUUCGAUGAACUUAUUUAGAGAUGAACCGGAGUCAACCAGAGAUUUGAAACGGGUGGACCGAACCGGUGAAAGUGGAGAGGAAAAUGUUGGUUUAGAAUUGACUCUU
rnacentral:lncRNA from 1 species